GAUGAACGCUGGCGGCGUGCCUAAUACAUGCAAGUCGAGCGAACGGACGAGAAGCCUGCUUCUCUGAUGUUAGCGGCGGACGGGUGAGUAACACGUGGAUAACCUACCUAUAAGACUGGGAUAACUUCGGGAAACCGGAGCUAAUACCGGAUAAUAUUUUGAACCGCAUGGUUCAAAAGUGAAAGACGGUCUUGCUGUCACUUAUAGAUGGAUCCGCGCUGCAUUAGCUAGUUGGUAAGGUAACGGCUUACCAAGGCAACGAUGCGUAGCCGACCUGAGAGGGUGAUCGGCCACACUGGAACUGAGACACGGUCCAGACUCCUACGGGAGGCAGCAGUAGGGAAUCUUCCGCAAUGGGCGAAAGCCUGACGGAGCAACGCCGCGUGAGUGAUGAAGGUCUUCGGAUCGUAAAACUCUGUUAUUAGGGAAGAACAUAUGUGUAAGUAACUGUGCACAUCUUGACGGUACCUAAUCAGAAAGCCACGGCUAACUACGUG
rnacentral:rRNA from 1 species